CUACGGGGGGCUCCAGUGGGGAAUAUUGGACAAUGGGGGAAACCCUGAUCCAGCAAUGCCGCGUGUGUGAAGAAGGCCUGCGGGUUGUAAAGCACUUUCGGUUGGGAGGACUGCUUCUAGCACUAAUAUUGUUGGAAGUUGACGUUACCUUCAGAAGAGGCACCGGCUAACUCCGUGCCAGCAGCCGCGGUAAUACGGAGGGUGCAAGCUUUAAUCGGAAUUACUGGGCGUAAAGCGCGCGUAGGCGGCUAGAUCAGUCGGGUGUGAAAGCCCCGGGCUUAACCUGGGAACUGCAUCCGAUACUGUCUAGCUUGAGUACAGGAGAGGAGAGUGGAAUUCCACAUGUAGCGGUGAAAUGCGUAGAUAUGUGGAGGAACACCAAUGGCGAAGGCAGCUCUCUGGCCUGAUACUGACGCUGAGGUGCGAAAGCGUGGGGAGCAAACAGGAUUAGAUACCCGCGUAGUC
rnacentral:rRNA from 1 species